AGUAAACGAAACAACCGCGAAACGUGGGACAACUGAGACUGUUAAAACGUGUUCACUGCGUCAUCUCUCCACCACGCUGAGGGAAAGACUGAACAGCGGGGCAGCAGGGGAGAUAUGCCGUGUUGAGUUCCUGGUGUGUGUCCUUGUGUGCUGGUUACACGCAGGAGUGAAAGGAAGAGCCACUACUGUUGUCUAUGUUCUGGAGUAACCUGUUAAUUGUUUUGUUGUCAGUGAACCUGGUCUUUUAGAGAGAGUAACCAGAGAUUGUACCUUAAAGGUGCAGGUGUAGUAAUGGGUGUUUUUCUGGCAUCAAUGCUGUCAGAGUACAAGAGUUAACAGUUGGAGUACCAGUUUUGUGUACAGAAAAACACGGUAGCCAUCCUUUACAAUUUCCACUGUUAUUAUCUACAAUCCUCAAUAUACAGUAUUAACGCUGUUCUUAUAUUUUUAUGAGUUCAGUCGGGAAAUAAAGACCCACAUAAAAUUUUAUUCUGUGUUCGGUCCCAUCAUUCAUUGACCGGGCCACAUAUAUACUAUUUUUAUAGCACUUUUUGACAGGGUAAAUUUCUUUUGUACCAACUGUGUAAUUAGUCAGAAAACUGAAACAGUGCAUGAGGGUUAAAUAAAUAAAUCAUAUUUUACAGGCCAGAUGGUAACCAUGAAUUUCCAAUAUUUGGUCAGUUUACCCCAAAACAAACAUAUUAACACGGAAUAUUCAAUCAGAAAUUUUGGAGAUGAGAGUUUAAACAAGAAGCUCGAUGCUGUGUUGAUUGACAUUGGGGGAGACCAUUAACGUUUUACAUCCAUGGGGACUGCAAACAUUGAAAACCAGCUUACAGUGUUAAUUUUUUUUAAAAAAGCUACUUCUUGCGUGGCAAGAGACCAUUAUAUGAGUGACUGUCUAUAGUCAGUUUAUUCCCCCAGUGCAUGAUGGUUACUGCCUUCAGUUUACAGAAGCUGCAGAGAAUUACACAAACUACUCAACUGAAACAACGGUAGCCGAGCUUUUCCUGGGUUCUGCAGGGGGAAAUGGAAGCCUGCAAGCAGACUGUCUUUGCCUCCUUCAGGAAUUUGUUGUUGUUCAUGUUAUGUGAGGUUAUUUAGGUAUAGUUGCUAUUUUAAGAGGUCCCCUUCACUUCAAAUCUUGGAGCUGGAAGCUCUUCAGUUUCAUUAAGGGGGAUAUAUUAUGGACAUUUUCAGUGUCUUGAAUAUUGAUCUCAAACUCCAGCAGCAGCUUUGUACCAUUCACUAUCCAAAGAACUCUCCAGAUCUUCAGAAAACUGUAUCUGCAAUCCUCUAUCAGAGCCCUGUGCUGCUAUGUGCCCGCUGAUUGGUCGGUUUGCCGAAGCAACCCAGGAGGAAGCGGGAAAAGGCGAGCACUCCCUCCCCCGCUUCUAUCGAUGCAGAAGUUCUGUUUGCAAACAGUAAACAGACAAACUAAUGAAGUUUGCUGUUCAUGCAGGAGUGCACUGAAUGCCUGCUCAAGCAGACUGAUUUGUAUAAUGUGUAAGCUACAUUUACAGAGAAAAGUGUCAUUAUACACACUCCUGGUUUGGAAUAUUAAUAUUAUAGGACAGAUAGUGUGUGUUAUAUAAUAUUAAUAUUAUAUAUACAGCAGUAGAUUACUUUUUACUUGGAAAUGCACACAGAGCAGACUGUGGACGUGUGAGAAGGACACAGGAAAAGGACUUUUUUCUUCCUGUCAUAAAAGUUGUGUGUUACUACAUGGAAUAAUUUUAUUUUACCUCCAUCUGUACAAACACAUGAUCCCUAAUGUCAAGUCAAGAAAAUCACCUCAAUCAGGAAAAUAAAGACUUUUAUUGACAA